rnacentral:lncRNA from 1 species
UGCGAAGAGGCCGUGCAGAGCACAUGGAAGGAGCGGCGGUGGCAAUGGCUGUCAAAAGCUAGGUAUGGCGCUUGGGGGCUAGGGUUUUUGUUAGGUGUUUGGGGUGUUGGGCUAUUAGGGUUUUUAAUUUUUUUGGGGAUUUUUAUUUAUUAUUUUGGUUUUAUUUAUUAUUUGUAUUUGGUCUUGGGCCCAGGCAAAAUUGGGUCAUUACAACUGCCCCUCUUUGCUCAUUUUCAUGUAACGAGAAUGGAGCAAAGACUUUUAAGAAGGACCAAUUUUGCUCGGUCUCACCGAAUCUUGACUUUUUGGUG